CCUACGGGAGGCAGCAGUGAGGAAUAUUGGUCAAUGGGCGCGAGCCUGAACCAGCCAAGUAGCGUGAAGGAUGACUGCCCUACGGGUUGUAAACUUCUUUUAUAAAGGAAUAAAGUGAGGCACGUGUGCCUUUUUGUAUGUACUUUAUGAAUAAGGAUCGGAUAACGACGUGCCAGCAGCCGCGGUAAUACGGAGGAUCCGAGCGUUAUCCGGAUUUAGUGGGGUUAAAGGGAGCGGAGAUGGGUUGUUAAGUCAGUUGUGAAAGUUUGCGGCUCAACCGUAAAAUUGCAAUUGAUACUGGCAGUCUUGAGUACAGUUGAGGUAGGCGUAAUUCGUGGUGUAGCGGUGAAAUGCUUAGAUAUCACGAAGAACUCCGAUUGCGAAGGCAGCUUACUAAACUGCCACUGACAUUGAUGCUCGAAAGUGUGGGUAUCAAACAGGAUUAGAUACCCUGGUAGUC
rnacentral:rRNA from 1 species